rnacentral:rRNA from 1 species
GGGAGGUAGUGACAAUAAAUAACAAUACGGGGUUCUUUCGGAUCUCGUAAUUGGAAUGAGUACAAUUUAAAUCUCUUAACGAGGAACAAUUGGAGGGCAAGUCUGGUGCCAGCAGCCGCGGUAAUUCCAGCUCCAAUAGCGUAUAUUAAAGUUGUUGCAGUUAAAAAGCUCGUAGUUGAAUUUCGGGAUCAGCAGAUUGGUCUUGCCACUGGUGUGUACUAGCUUGCUGAUUCCUCCUUCUUGUAGAACCGUAAUGCCAUUAAUUUGGUGUUGCGGGGGAACAGGACUGUUACUUUGAAAAAUUAGAGUGUUUAAAGCAGGCUAGCGCCUGAAUACAUUAGCAUGGAAUAAUGAAAUAGGACGACGAUCCUAUUUUGUUGGUUUCUAGGAUCGACGUAAUGAUUAAUAGGGAUAGUUGGG